UACGUAGGGUGCAAGCGUUGUCCGGAAUUAUUGGGCGUAAAGAGCUCGUAGGCGGUCUGUCGCGUCUGCUGUGAAAAUCCAGGGCUCAACCCUGGACCUGCAGUGGGUACGGGCAGACUAGAGUGCGGUAGGGGAGAUCGGAAUUCCUGGUGUAGCGGUGAAAUGCGCAGAUAUCGGGAAGAACACCCGUGGCGAAGGCGGCUCUCUGGGACGGUACUGACGCUGAGACGCGAAAGCGUGGGGAGCGAACAGG
rnacentral:rRNA from 1 species